rfam:Nicotiana attenuata strain TT chromosome 12, whole genome shotgun sequence.
AUUGUGAUUAGGACAGUCUCUAAGUAGCCCCUUGAACCUCUCCCAAGCUGGGUAUAAAGACUCUCCGUUUUACUGUUUGAAGUACACUAUCUCAGUUCUGAUCUU